rnacentral:rRNA from 1 species
GACGUAGGAGGCGAGCGUUGUCCGGAUUCAUUGGGCGUAAAGAGCGCGCAGGCGGCUUGGUAAGUCGGAUGUGAAAACCCGAGGCUCAACCUCGGGCGUGCAUCCGAUACUGCUCGGCUAGAGGUAGGUAGGGGGAGAUCGGAAUUCCUGGUGUAGCGGUGAAAUGCGCAGAUAUCAGGAGGAACACCGGUGGCGAAGGCGGAUCUCUGGGCCUUACCUGACGCUCAGGCGCGAAAGCUAGGGGAGCGAACUGG